rnacentral:lncRNA from 1 species
AUUAAAUAAAUAAAAAUAACAAUAGUUCUAAAAAAGAUUAUUUAAAAAAAAAUAUUUAUUUUUAAGAUUUAGAGUUUAGUGUUUAAGAUUUAUAAUUUAGAAUUUAUCCAAAUGUUUAGUGUUUUUCCAAGGGUUUAAGGUUUACCUAAGGGUUUAUGGUUUACCCAAGGGUUUAGGGUUUUCCCAAGGGGUUUAGGGUUUAGGGUUUAGGAUUAGAGUUUAGGGUUUAGUGUUUUGUUGACAACAUGUUUAGUGUUUUUCUAAGGGUUUAGGGUUUACCCAAUGAUUUAGGGUUUACCCAAGGGUUUAGGGUUUAGGAUUUGAGUUUAGGAUUUAGUAUUAGAGUUUAGGGUUUAAUAUUAGAGUUUAGGGUUUAGUGUUUUGUUGACAACAUUAUUAAUUUUUUGAAUUCGUUUUUUAUAUAUUAUUUUUAUUUAUUUUUAAAUUUUAUUUUGAAAAUAUAAUAUAAUUUGCCAAGUUAUUUAGUUUCCUUAAUUAAAAGAUACUAGAUUUAAAAUGAAAAUUUUCUAUUGGUUGGUGAAUCUAAAC